UACGUAGGGGGCAAGCGUUGUCCGGAAUCAUUGGGCGUAAAGAGCGUGUAGGCGGCCCGAUAAGUCCGCCGUGAAAGUCCAGGGCUCAACCCUGGAAUGCCGGUGGAAACUGUCGGGCUGGAGUCCGGAAGAGGCGAGUGGAAUUCCCGGUGUAGCGGUGAAAUGCGCAGAUAUCGGGAGGAACACCAAUGGCGAAGGCAGCUUGCUGGGACGGUACUGACGCUGAGGCGCGAAAGCGUGGGGAGCAAACAGG
rnacentral:rRNA from 1 species